rnacentral:rRNA from 1 species
AUUGAACGCUGGCGGCAGGCUUAACACAUGCAAGUCGAGCGGAGAUGAGGUGCUUGCACCUUAUCUUAGCGGCGGACGGGUGAGUAAUGCUUAGGAAUCUGCCUAUUAGUGGGGGACAACAUUCCGAAAGGAAUGCUAAUACCGCAUACGUCCUACGGGAGAAAGCAGGGGAUCUUCGGACCUUGCGCUAAUAGAUGAGCCUAAGUCGGAUUAGCUAGUUGGUGGGGUAAAGGCCUACCAAGGCGACGAU